GGGCCUAUAGUUCAAUGGUAGAAUAACGGUCUCCAAAACCGUUGAUCGAGGUUCGAAUCCUCGUGGGCCCGCAA
rnacentral:tRNA from 1 species